UACAGAGGGUGCGAGCGUUAAUCGGAAUUACUAGGCGUAAAGCGUGCGUAGACGGUAGCGUAAGUCAGAUGUGAAAGCCCCGGGCUCAACCUGGGAAUUGCAUUUGAGACUGCUCUGCUCGGGUGCGGAAGAGGGAAGCGGAAUUUCCGGUGUAGCGGUGAAAUGCGUAGAUAUCGGAAGGAACACCAGUGGCGAAAGCGGCUUCCUGGUCCGACACCGACGUUCAGGCACGAAAGCGCGGGGAGCAAACAGG
rnacentral:rRNA from 1 species